CUUAUCAACUUUUGAUGCCAUUUACUGUGCUGACCAUGGUGACCACGUGUAACGGGGAAUCAGGGUUUGAUUCCA